GAUGAACGCUGGCGGCAGGCCUAACACAUGCAAGUCGAGCGGAUGACGGGAGCUUGCUCCUUGAUUCAGCGGCGGACGGGUGAGUAAUGCCUAGGAAUCUGCCUGGUAGUGGGGGACAACGUUUCGAAAGGAACGCUAAUACCGCAUACGUCCUACGGGAGAAAGCAGGGGACCUUCGGGCCUUGCGCUAUCAGAUGAGCCUAGGUCGGAUUAGCUAGUUGGUGAGGUAAUGGCUCACCAAGGCGACGAUCCGUAACUGGUCUGAGAGGAUGAUCAGUCACACUGGAACUGAGACACGGUCCAGACUCCUACGGGAGGCAGCAGUGGGGAAUAUUGGACAAUGGGCGAAAGCCUGAUCCAGCCAUGCCGCGUGUGUGAAGAGGGUCUUCGGAUUGUAAAGCACUUUAAGUUGGGAGGAAGGGCAGUAAGUUAAUACCUUGCUGUUUUGACGUUACCGACAGAAUAAGCACCGGCUAACUCUGUGCCAGCAGCCGCCGUAACAC
rnacentral:rRNA from 1 species